GAGGGCAAGUCUGGUGCCAGCAGCCGCGGUAAUUCCAGCUCCAAUAGCGUAUAUUAAAGUUGUUGCGGUUAAAAAGCUCGUAGUCGGAUCUGUGUCUGGACGGUGCCGGACCACCCUGGCGGUCCGUCGUGUCGCGGCCGGCCGUGUCGCGGGACCACGUGUCCCGUCGGCGCGGUCGCCGUCGCGCUCGUCAGCCGUCUCGGGGUGUUAGUUACCGGCACGUCGGCCGGACGUAUUGUCGGCAGGCGGACACGUGUCUCGUGCUUCCGGCGCGCCGCGCGGCCACGCGUCGCGCGGCCGUCGGUGUUCGACGACGGCGGCCGCCUACUCCAAUCUUGCUGCGCGGUGCUCUUCACCGAGUGCCGUCGGCGGGCCGACACGUUUACUUUGAACAAAUUAGAGUGCUCAAAGCAGGCUCGAAUCUGGCGGGGCGGCUUCACGGCCGUCUCGUCAAAAGGCCCUGAAUACUGGUCGCAUGGAAUAAUGGAACAAGACCUCGGUCCCGCGCAUCUCCGCCCUUCGCGGGCGCGCGAAAUCGCCCUCCGGGGCGUUUCCGUGCGCGGGCCGCCGGGCCGCGGGCGCCAGUCGCCCGCGCGUCCCGCCGGGCCGGUUUUCGGGACCGGAGGUAAUGAUCAACAGAGACGGGCGGGGGCAUUCGUACCGAGACGUUAGAGGUGAAAUUCUUGGAUCGUCUCGAGACGAACUGACGCGAAAGCAUUUGCCAAGUACGUUCUCGUAUGAUCAAGAACGAAAGUUAGAGGUUCGAAGGCGAUCAGAUACCGCCCUAGUUCUAACUGUAAACGAUGCCAGCUAGCGAUCCGCCGGCGUUUCAUUAACGACCCGGCGGGCAGCUUCCGGGAAACCGAAGCUUUUCGGUUCCGGGGGAAGUAUGAUUGCAAAGUUGAAACUUAAAGGAAUUGACGGAAGGGCACCACCAGGAGUGGAGCCUGCGGCUUAAUUUGACUCAACACGGGAAACCUCACCAGGCCCGGACACCGGAAAGAUUGACAGAUUGAGAGCUCUUUCUUGAUUCGGUGGGUGGUGGUGCAUGGCCGUUCUUAGUUGGUGGAGCGAUCUGUCUGGUUAAUUCCGAUAACGAACGAGACUCUGUCCUGCUAACUAGGCGGGUAAACCCGGGUCGGCGUGUGCGCGGCGCUGGCGGUUUCGGCCGUCAGUGUUCGCGUACCCGUCGGCUCGGCCCGGUAUCCCCGAACGCGUUCGCCCGUCGUCCACGGCGGUCGUCGGGCGCGGCCGCGCCAUCCGCGUCCCGGCGUUCGGCGGGCGUAUGUCGGCCGGGGGGCAACCUCCGGUCGGCCUGCGUCCGUCGUGCGUCGGGCUCCGUGGUGAAGCGCGCCGUGUUCGCGGCCGUCGCCGGCGGAUCACGAUACGUUACUAGGGCUACCGCCGGCUCCCAGGAGCUUAAACUCUUCUUAGAGGGACAGGCGGCGGACGAACAUAGCCGCACGAGACUGAGCGAUAACAGGUCUGUGAUGCCCUUAGAUGUUCUGGGCCGCACGCGCGCUACACUGAACGAAUCAGCGUGUUUAACAAUCCUGGGCCGACAGGCUUCCGGGUAACCCGCUGAACCUCCUUCGUGCUUAGGGAUCGUGGCUUGCAAUUUUUCCACGUGAACGAGGAAUUCCCAGUAAGCGCGAGUCAUCAGCUCGCGUUGAUUACGUCCCUGCCCUUUGUACACACCGCCCGUCGCUACUACCGAUUGAACGGUCGCAUUGAGGUCUUCGGAGUG
rnacentral:ncRNA from 1 species